GAUGAACGCUGGCGGCGUGCCUAAUACAUGCAAGUCGAGCGAACGGACGAGAAGCUUGCUUCUCUGAUGUUAGCGGCGGACGGGUGAGUAACACGUGGAUAACCUACCUAUAAGACUGGGAUAACUUCGGGAAACCGGAGCUAAUACCGGAUAAUAUUUUGAACCGCAUGGUUCAAAAGUGAAAGACGGUCUUGCUGUCACUUAUAGAUGGAUCCGCGCUGCAUUAGCUAGUUGGUAAGGUAACGGCUUACCAAGGCAACGAUGCAUAGCCGACCUGAGAGGGGGAUCGGCCACACUGGAACUGAGACACGGUCCAGACUCCUACGGGAGGCAGCAGUAGGGAAUCUGCCGCAAUGGGCGAAAGCCUGACGGAGCAACGCCGCGUGAGUGAUGAAGGUCUUCGGAUCGUAAAACUCUGUUAUUAGGGAAGAACAUAUGUGUAAGUAACUGUGCACAUCUUGACGGUACCUAAUCAGAAAGCCACGGCUAACUACGUG
rnacentral:rRNA from 1 species